CUCUGCUCACCCUCUAAUCUAUGUUAUAUUUUUGUCCUGUUAUUCUCACACCUCACUCUCUCUGUCACGCACCACUCCUCUCUCUCAACUCAACCUCACCUUUUAGCUCUUCCACGUUUUUCAUUGCUAUCUAAAACACACACCAUUAACUCAUCUUUCCCUUCUAACCCUAACAACAUCAUGGCUUUUGCUACUCUUGCACUUGCACUUCUUCUUUUUCCCUUCACCGCCAUUCCUUCAAGU
rnacentral:lncRNA from 1 species